rnacentral:rRNA from 1 species
UACAGAGGGGGCGAGCGUUGUUCGGAAUUACUGGGCGUAAAGGGCGCGUAGGCGGCCAACUAAGUCAGACGUGAAAUCCCUCGGCUCAACCGGGGAACUGCGUCUGAUACUGGAUGGCUUGAAUUCGGGAGAGGGAUGCGGAAUUCCAGGUGUAGCGGUGAAAUGCGUAGAUAUCUGGAGGAACACCAGCGGCGAAGGCGGCAUCCUGGACUGGUCCUGACACUCAUGAGCGAAAGCGUUGGGGA